UCACAGGGUCUUCAGAAACUGGUUCUUGUGUCUCUUGAGUAUCAAGAUCUAGGGAGCCUGGUUGCCUGUCCUCGCUGAAAAGUUGUAUUUGCUCCACAACAUCAUAUAUACCAGCUUGAAUCCUGCCCUUGAAUCAAAGGUUGCCCUGGUAGAGUAACAACAUCACAAGAGGAUCUUUCUGUCUCGGUAGUAGUGGGACAAGGUUCGCCAGAUGAACAUUCCAACUUUGUAGGAGCAAGACAUGGCUUUCCAUGGAUGCCAGCAUCUGCUGAGGAACUUGUUGGAUAGAAGGAACUUGGCUUCCAGUUUCCUUGCUCCGCUCGUUGGGUACACUUUGUGGGGAUACGUCUAUUCCAGAAUCAGCUGCCCUGCCACAGAGUGAGACACAGUACAGUAGGGGACAAAGAUUAAACUGCUCCAGGUGAUCAAUGUAUCAACUCAUGGUAUGGAAUCAUUAUCCGGAAACCCAAUUCAAAGGUAAAGAGCCACACUCACACCAAUCACUGUUUGAAGUCACAGGUGCACGCUGUCUCCUCUCUGCAAAGGGUUCUCACUUCAAUCCAUUAUCCGGAAACCCGUUAUCCAGAGUGCUCAGAAUGACAGAAAGGUUUUCUCCCACAGACUCCAUGGGGGCAGUUGUCCAGAAUACAAAAGUAAGGGGGUACAUGCAGAAUGAUAACCACCAAUAUACCCUGCCUGCACAUAAAUAUGAAUUAUACACCACAUGGCAGGGUGUUGGAAAUGUGUCUGGGGAUUUUUGUGGAUAACAAACUGUGUAAUUCAAGGUAGUAUUAUUCAGUGGCUAAUAAAGCAAACAAAGUUCUGUCUUGCAUAAAAAAGGUAACUAACUUGAGGGAAGAAAACAUAAUUUUGCCUCUUUAUAGGUCCCUGGUAAGGCCUCAUCUGGAGUAUGCAGUGCAGUUUGGGGCUCUGGUUCUUAAGAAGGAUAGAAAUGAGCUGGAGGUUAGUGGGAUGGAAGACUUAAAUUAUCAGGGUAAAUUGUCAAGGUUGGGGUUGUUUUCUCUGGAAAAGAGACACUU